rnacentral:rRNA from 1 species
UACGUAGGUGGCAAGCGUUGUCCGGAUUUAUUGGGUUUAAAGGGUGCGUAGGCGGUCCUAUAAGUCAGUGCUGAAAUAUCCCAGCUUAACUGGGAGGGUGGCAUUGAUACUGCAGGACUUGAGUAGAGUCGAAGUAGGCGGAAUUGACGGUGUAGCGGUGAAAUGCUUAGAUAUCGUCAAGAACACCAAUAGUGAAGACAGCUUACUAGGCUCAAACUGACGCUGAGGCACGAAAGUGCGGGGAUCAAACAGG